CAGCCGCCACGGUAAUACGGAGGGCGCGAGCGUUACCCGGAUUUACUGGGCGUAAAGGGCGUGUAGGCGGCCUGGGGCGUCCCAUGUGAAAGGCCACGGCUCAACCGUGGAGGAGCGUGGGAUACGCUCAGGCUAGAGGGUGGGAGAGGGUGGUGGAAUUCCCGGAGUAGCGGUGAAAUGCGCAGAUACCGGGAGGAACGCCGAUGGCGAAGGCAGCCACCUGGUCCACUUCUGACGCUGAGGCGCGAAAGCGUGGGGAGCAAACCGGAUUAGAUACCCGCGUAGUCCCUGUCUCUUAUAC
rnacentral:rRNA from 1 species